rnacentral:rRNA from 1 species
UCUGGCCUCAAAUCAAGUAGGACUACCCGCUGAACUAAAGCAUAUC